GGCCUCGUGGCUCAGCUGGUAGAGCAUGCGCGUACAAAGCGUAGGCGGUGUCUAUGCAUGGGUUCCAAUCCNUAUGCAUGGGUUCCAAUCCCGUCGAGGCUA
rnacentral:tRNA from 1 species